rnacentral:rRNA from 1 species
UACGAAGGGUGCAAGCGUUACUCGGAAUUACUGGGCGUAAAGCGUGCGUAGGUGGUUUGUUAAGUCUGUUGUGAAAGCCCCGGGCUCAACCUGGGAAUGGCAAUGGAUACUGGCGUGACUAGAGUCCGGUAGGGGACCACGGAAUUCCUGGUGUAGCGGUGAAAUGCGCAGAUAUCGAGGAGGAACACCAGUGGCGAAGGCGGUGGUCUGGGCCGGAACUGACGCUGUAGAGCGAAAGCGUGGGGAGCGAACAGG